rfam:Schistosoma rodhaini strain Burundi genome assembly, scaffold: SROB_scaffold0000789
GCACUGCUGAGGAGUUCCACAACAGGACGAAACGGUCGUCCAAUGU